UACGAAGGGGGCUAGCGUUGCUCGGAAUCACUGGGCGUAAAGGGUGCGUAGGCGGGUCUUUAAGUCAGGGGUGAAAUCCUGGAGCUCAACUCCAGAACUGCCUUUGAUACUGAAGAUCUUGAGUUCGGGAGAGGUGAGUGGAACUGCGAGUGUAGAGGUGAAAUUCGUAGAUAUUCGCAAGAACACCUGAGGCGAAGGCGGGCUACUGGGCCGAUACUGACGCUGAUGCGCGAAAGCCAGGGGAGCAAACGGG
rnacentral:rRNA from 1 species